UACAGAGGGUGCGAGCGUUAAUCGGAAUUACUGGGCGUAAAGCGCGCGUAGGCGGCUUUUCAAGUCGAUUGUGAAAUCCCCGGGCUUAACCUGGGAACUGCAGUCGAGACUGUCUAGCUAGAGUAUGGGAGAGGGAAGUGGAAUUUCAGGUGUAGCGGUGAAAUGCGUAGAUAUCUGGAGGAACACCGGUGGCGAAGGUGGCAUCCUGGACCAACACUGACACUGAGGAGCGAAAGCCAGGGGAGCAAACGGG
rnacentral:rRNA from 1 species